UACAGGGGGGGGCAAGCGUUGUUCGGAAUUACUGGGCGUAAAGAGCGCGCAGGCGGUCGUUCAAGUCGAGUGUGAAAGCCCCCGGCUCAACUGGGGAGGGUCACUCGAUACUGAUCGACUCGAAGGCAGGAGAGGGAAGCGGAAUUCCCGGUGUAGUGGUGAAAUGCGUAGAUAUCGGGAGGAACACCAGUGGCGAAGGCGGCUUUCUGGCCUGUUCUUGACGCUGAGGCGCGAAAGCUAGGGUAGCAAACAGG
rnacentral:rRNA from 1 species